ensembl:lncRNA
UGCUAUAGAAAUCUUUAAUUGUGUAGUAUGUUUAAUAAAAUCUUAGGUAAACAUCAGUUUGGACUACUUUAUAAUUUUACUUGAAGCCAAUAUAUAUCAUUACUACCCCUACUUCUCCUUCUCUUAUCACCAACCCAGUCAAAAUAUAUAUAACUCAGAAAAUAGCAGGGACAGAAAAAUGAAGCUCCAAUGCAUUAUUACCAAGUAAAGUUUUGCUCCCUUCGCUCACAUUACCAUCAUGAAAAUAGAAGCACUAAAUAAGGCUUUUAAAGACAGGUUUAUUUAUAAGUGCAUGAAAUUGAAUACCCAAAAUUUAUUAAAAUACUGUAUAUUACAAAGUUUUAAUCCAUAAAUCUGUAAUGACAUUUAACUGCUGGAUUCAUUUAUAACAGUUGUUUGUCCAUGUUAUUAAAGAAUUAACCCUGUAUAUACAAAUGACAAGUACCAUAUAUGGAUCCCAGAAACAGUCUUAUGUUCAGACACUGGGUGAUACAAAUUGUGCAUCUUUGCUUUAAAGCAAUAAAGAGGAACCUGUAACCUGUCUUUGCAGACCAACUUUCUAUAACCAAAAUAAUUUGCAUAUGUUUAUUGCUGCCCUUUGAAGAAAAUGGGAGUGCAAGGAACUUAAAAUGAACAUCUAAGACCAUACUAACAUGUUUACUGAAAUUAAAAUACAUAAAAUUCACUGCAAAACUUUUAUUGUCCAAGAAAUUACACUAUAUACAUAAUGAGGUUUAUACAUGAAUAGGGAAAUUAAAAAAUUGUUUUUAUAAAAUUAAAAAUCAAUAGUAUACAAUAUUUACAACUUCAGUUAUGUAUUAUAAACAUAAAUUUUUGCCAUCGUUCAAAUUAAUUUAAACUGUAUAUGUAAACAUGCAGUAUACAUACACUCAUAGUGUAGGUUAUAUUCUUAACUGUAGGGGAAAACCAUUUUCACAUAAUAUAGGGUAUUUCUAAAGAUGUAUUUAUUUUUACAGCAUUGAAUUACUUCCUAGCUUUUAUUGUCCCUAUUUUUAAGCUUCACAGUACAUUAAAAAUCUUUAUAACAAAAUAAAUCCCUGAUGAUAAAAUUAUUUCUACAGGUUACAUAAAAUGUCUGCCCCAGGAGUUCAAUAUAAAACUAACACUGCCACGCUAAAUUCUCUCAUUGGCAAUAAGAAUAAAAUAAGAAUCUACAUUUGAUUUUCUCGGCUACAUUCUUCCCCAUUACACAUCAGCCUGGUAAAGGAAAGCACAAAGACCAAAAAACAAACAAAUAAACAAAAAACACACACACAAAAACAAAAACAAAAAUUCAAAGAAAGUAUUUCUCAACUACUUUACAUAAUGGACAAUGGCAGAGAUAACUAAUAACCUCCAAAUCAGAUUAGUAGUAGUAUAAGAAUCAUAUUGUCAAGGAUUUUAUUCUCUACAAAUUUGAUUUAAUUUCUUGAUAUCACACCUCAUCAUCCUAUCUUAAAGCACAAGUAACUCAAGCAAGUCCUAUUAUCCCUUUUUGGUCCUGAAUCCAGUAAAUUCACUUUGCAAAUAUGUCUUAACUCUUAGAAGGCAUUAAGACACCAUUUAGCACUGAAAACAGAACAAUAAUUUGCUAAAUGAUUCUUAAGUGACCUCAGAAUUAACACAAUUUUAAAGUGAGCCUUUUACUGAUCCUAUCAAUACUCUACACUGUUGCAAUUUAAAUAUACUGAUUUUUACUGAAAUUAUUUAAGGUUUAAUUUUUUUUUCUAGAAUGAUUAAAUCUGAAACUAGAUUUACUGUUACAAUAAUCUGAAUUCAACCAAGUUACUAAAUGAAUAUGUAUACAAAUCCAAACACUUAAAUAAUGUUAAAUGAUGACUACAUGCAUGUUUACACAGCGAUUAAUAAUGGAGAGAGUUAUUUUUAAUUCUACAUGGUAAAUCCAUGAAAUACAAAAAAUCCAGUUCUAAAAAUUUUUUUCCAACAAUUACUUUCUUAAAAUAGCACUUUUAUCAAAGAUAAGUAAAAGCAUCAUUCAAAAAACUUACAACUUAAAAGGAAAAUCUUUUUUUUAAUUCAGGGAAGUCGAUAUAUUUUGAUUUUUACAAAGAUAUUUCGAAAAUAUUUCAUUCCAAAGACACAUGACAAUGACUACAAACAAUUUCAUUUACACACAAAAUGAAAAUGCUACUAUUUAACGGUAGUGUUUUCAAGCUAACAUUGUUGUAGGUCCAAUGACUGAAGUCAAGCCAUAAUUUGAUUAGAAAGAAAUGACCAAUAUAGAAUAAUAAUUAGGAAAUUAAAACGUAAAAUAAUGAAAUAAAGGGCUGAACAAUUAAGGAAUCUGGAUAAUUGUAAAUUACAAGCAAUAGCUUGAUCUUAAGCAUCAUAUUUUUUAUUUUACUUAUGUACAUAUUUCCUGAAAAGGAUGCAGUCAUUUUGACAUCAAGAAUGUACUGGGUUAAUAUGUAAAAGGUUUAUAUAUAUAUAUAUAUACAUAUAUAUAAAUGGUUCACAAAACUGACUUCCCCACAAUAUUUGUUUUGCCCUAAAAACAAUAAAUACAUAGCCAUAAGACUAUUUAGAAUAUAUUCUUCUUAAUCAGGGUGCAAAUACAUGGUACACUGAAUUAUAUAUAAUUAAAUUAAAACAAAAUUUCCAGGUAAAGGACUUUAAAAUAGUAACAAAAUUGACUCUCAUAAUAUCCUCAAAGGAUACAAAAGUUGAACCUGUGUAAACUUAUAUAAAUGGUAAAAUGACUUCCUUAAUUUCAAAGCAAAAGAAAAUUAUAGUCAUUAAAUCGACUUUAGUGUUUCCACUAAGUUAAUAUAAAAUUUGUUGGUAUAUCUAAGGUAUAGUGGAAACAUAAGACAAACUAAAUAUCAUUCCCCAAUAGCAAGUUGAUAAUAGAUCAAGUAAUUUAAUCAGUCUCACUAUUCAAUCUUGACAAUAAUAAAAAUAUCGUAUUCUCUACAAAUAGAGAUCAUCAAAGAGAAAUGUAACAUUUGAGAUCCUUAGAAGGUAGGACUAGAUAAUCUAUGAUCUCUCCUAGAUCAUAUUUUGAUUAAAUUUUAUAAGACUAUAACCUCAGUCCAAAUCUUUAGUACUGACUUACUAAAAAGGCUGAAUAAAAUUUAACUGCUGAUAUACAAUAUAUUAGGAGCAUGUGUGUAACAUAAUGAAAAACAAUAACAUGAUUUGUUUUACUGUAAAAUAGUACAAAAUAUUUUAAAAUCUUCAUAGUAGUUUAUUUACUCACAUAAUUUCUUUCCAAUUUCGCUCUAAAAUUUUGAGGGAGUUACGAAUUUGGGGGGGGGGACAGAAAUUCUGUGAACAAGCUUGAGGUCUGAUUCACUGCUACUGUCAUUAAUUUUCAUUCAGUCUAAAAUUCUUACUCCCUUACAGUAAAACAUGGAUUUAUUCACCCACAGUUAAAUAGUAAUUAAAUAUUACAGUUAUUUGUGAUAUAGUUCUCUCAACAUUUUUUCAUCAUUUCUUUGUGCUUAGGGCAAAAUACUGCUUUAAAUAAAAUUUGUCAAAAAAGCAAAGUAAAAGAAAUUUGCAAAAUUGUGUUUAUUUUUAGGACUUUUUUUUUUUUAAUUUACAUUGUAUGUACAAAAAAAAAUAUUUCCUUUCAAGUGUCAAAGUUAGGGACUGAAGUACCUUUAAUUCAGUAAAGGAAGGUAACCACUGUCUUUCCAAUUCACUGCUCAUGAUUUCAUAAUUGGCAGUAUAUACUAAGGUGCUUUUACAAAACCCAGUACCUUCAAUGAGAAGGAAGGAGGGCAACAGAGAUAAUAUGAUAAAAUAACCUGGAGGGAUGAUAGGACUGAGGAUUAAUUAGUUCUGCCAUCUUUUCACUCCAGCCAAAUCCUUAUUUCCCUAUUUGUCUAUACUGGAAAAAAAAGAAGAGGGUGUUCUACCGAAGUGUUUGCUUAUAAUGAUGGGUCCUUCAAAGGGGUGUUAAAAGUUACAAUGGAAAGAUGCCAAUAAAUAAACAGAUUCUUCUCAAGAAGCUUGUGGGAGGAAUAUGCCAAAAAGAAAAAAAAGAAGUGAGUGAAUAAAUCUGGAAUAGUUGCAACAAACCCAAAUGGUAUUUCUUAGAAAUUAUGAAUGACCAUUAAUUAUUAGCUUAUUCACUUAAAAUGAAAAUAUGGAAUUAUAUUUCAUACUGAAUAAGCUGAAAAAAUUCUAAUUUGGACACAAAAAGAAGUGGGAUUCCAAGUUGGCAUCCAUAUCUUUUUUGAACUCGGAACUAGCUUGUUAUAUUUUCACUUGAUUUAUUCUUUUAAAAAAGAAUGUAGUGGUUAAUAAGUCAUCUUAUUUCUUUUCUUUUCAAAUUUUAAAGUAACAAUUAUGACUAUUAGUUAUGUACCUUUUUUUUUGGUAAAAAAGUGCUUUAUAUAAAUCAUCUCAUUUUAUCCUCACAACUCUAUUUAACUUCCUUAAUCCUCACUUUAAAUCAUGAAGAAAACUCGGAAAAAGUAGAUUUUGACUUUAAAAUAGAAUAACCUAUCCCUUUCUUUAUAUGUUCUAGACAUAAGAAGAAUACGUUACUGGAAUAAAGAAAAAAUAAUGAAUUAAAAUUGUAUCUGCCAUAAAGAAUACAAAAAGAAUAUUACAAAACCCUUUUGGCCUUUUAUCAUUGGAAAUUAAAAAAAAAACUUCAUAAGCAGUUAUUUAAAACUAUUCAAAGUUAAUUUGGUCAUCCAUCCUAAUGGACAAUAAUAAACCAAACAAUUUGCAGUUUAUAUAAUGAGUUCUAUGGGCCAGAAAAAAGACUGAUUUAAUACUCAGUAUUCAUCAACUGCUUAGAUAGGAAAUCCUCUUAUUAGUAAACAAGAUUUCCCAAACAUUUGUAAAACAGGGGGUGAAAAGUGCAAGAAGUACAAUUUAUAUUGAAGGAUUUCUGAGGUGUGGGGAAAAGGGAAACACAGUCAUUUUAAAAAGGUAUAAACUAUAAGAUAAUGAAGAUGUGACCAAGCAAAUUAAUGACAUUUUUGCUCUAUCAUGAAAACAUCUUGCCAUUGUUAAUCAAGGAAAUGUUUUGAAAUUACAAACUAAAUUCAAGCAACUGUGAAAGAUUUAACUCAACU